UACGUAGGGUGCAAGCGUUGUCCGGAAUUAUUGGGCGUAAAGAGCUCGUAGGCGGCUUGUCGCGUCGGCUGUGAAAACCUGGGGCUCAACCCCGGGCCUGCAGCCGAUACGGGCAAGCUAGAAUUCGGUAGGGGAGACUGGAAUUCCUGGUGUAGCGGUGAAAUGCGCAGAUAUCAGGAGGAACACCGGUAGCGAAGGCGGGUCUCUGGGCCGAUAUUGACGCUGAGGAGCGAAAGCGUGGGGAGCGAACAGG
rnacentral:rRNA from 1 species